AAUGCUUCUGUGAUUAUGGUGCAACGUAGGACAUCGAGAAUGAAGCCCCAUAGCUCCCACAAUCAUCGCUGAAGCCCGCUCCUUCUCUCUGCUCGUGCGCGCGAGGGGAAGAAGAUGAACCCGACAGGUGGGUUCCACCUGUCGGUGAGCCAGCCCUUGCCCCGAUGGUGUAUACCCCUCCAGAGCAUAUUCUCUCAGAGGAAGCGUAGUUCUGAAAGAUGUAGGGAGAAUUCCUUAAAAAAAUUGAAGUGCACGCAGCUCUUCUUCAUACCCAAGGCAAGCAUCUUGAACAAUGAUUUUUCAUAAGUUGAGUGAUUCCUUGCUGCGAUAAAUGAAUGCAUGUUUAUGCAUGAAUGCAUGUGACGGGCAUUUAUUUGCUGUUGAGCAUAAAAUUCACAUGAUGGUGGGUAUUGUCUCAUACCGUGUAUGCCUAUGCUGAUCCGAACAACCUCGAAGGAAGGUUUGUCAUGGGUGAAAGUGUGACCAUGAAACUGAUAUCUCGUUCUGAUGAGAGUGAUCAGUGAGGGCAUAUCGGGGUAUGAUGGUGGUAACACUCUCGGAUAUCAUUCGGAAAUUUUGUGAUGCUAACCAUUGUAGGGAAACUUAAACCUCCUGAGUCAACCAUAGAUCAAGUAUUGUACUAGUAACCCGCAUACUUGAUUUGUGCUACCACUUCUCCCUGCCACAGGUAGGGUACGGUUCAGUAAGUUGUCAACCCCUUUACUUGCACGCACCAUACAGAGAGGCCAUAGUGAAAGAUACCAUUGUUCACUGCUAGGCAUGUCACUUGGUACGGGGGCAUGGGUGUUCCGGUUGGACCGAGGGGGUAGCGCCCCUAUCUGCGUGCAGUAAAAAUAUGUUGAUCACAUGCUAAUCGCGGUUGUGGUCUCCCAAUUAGAGCUUUGCCUCACGAUUGCUUUGGGAGAUUCCUGGCAUCGUGAAGUUAAGCUGGUGCGUGCAGGUCAGGUGUGUUUUCUACUCAAUGACCGUAAGCGGAAUUAGCCAACAUCUUAGGUUGAGUAAGGAAAUCCAUUACUCAUGGGUAAAGAGUACACCCUCUGCAGAGUUAAAUAUCUAUUCGAAUAGUAGUGUCUGUAGGUAAGGUCUACUGUCUGGGAUAGGUGAAGUGUCGGUGUGACUGUCGGUCUUCAGAGGAAUUAUUGAAACAUGAUGAUGAUCAUGAACGGUGAUGGAUGAUCAUAGUUAUUAUGAAUCUUAUUGUGGCGUAACCAUUUCUUGUAUAAGAAAUUUUGAGUGCCCUCUGAAGUUUCUACCUCCCGGAUACUCGAUGUUAUUAUUGUCCUUAUAAGCCCUUUUGUAGCAUCGCUUCAGACCCGACUGUGGCAACUGUUAUUAUUUCCAUGUAAGCCCUUUAUGUGGUGUCCCUCCAAACGCCCGACUGUGGCAACUGUUAUUAUUUCCUUAUAAGCCCUUUAUGUGGCAUCGCUCCAGGCGCUCGACUGUGGUAAUUGUUAUUAUUUCCAUAUAAGCCCUUUAGGUGGCGUCGCUCAGACGCCCGACUGUGGCUAGUAUGUUUUUACUUACUCAUUUUUAUGAUUAUCUUAUAAGCCCUUUAUGCGACGUCGCUCUAGACACCCGACUAUGGCACAUCAGUUAUUAUUUCGUUGCACGCCCUUUUUGUAGUGUCACUCCAGACGCCCGACUGUGGCAUUACUAUAAUUAUACUGAUAUAAGUCCCUCUAUGUGGCAUUGUUUACACACCCGACUAUUGCUUAUAUUGCAUGUCAUUUCAAGGUGUCGCUCCAGACGACCGAUCAGCACAUUUAUAUUUAUUGUUACUUACUUCCCUUGAUUGCUUAUACAUCAUUGGUAGGAAUGAUUUAUCUACAUAAUUGCAUCAAUAAAUUAAAUCUUAUGGCAUGUCAGUUGUUAUUAAAAUUUUAGUGCAUCAAUCUCACCUACUUUUACUUAUCUGCUUUCAUGAUGUUUGCGAGUAUAUUCAAAGUACUCACUGGCUUGACCCUGGCUAUUAUCCUGGCCAGAUUGCGUAUUUGGAGAAGAGCAUGAUGAUGACAACCCCAUACCUAAGCAUCAAGGAUAGCAGCCUUGCAAGAUAGGAGUAAUCCAGCUCAGCUAUUCCUGUGGGAAUGGAGUCCAAUGGAUGCUCGAGAUCCACGAGUAGCUUCCGCCAUCAGCCACUCGACAUUUUGUUAUACCCCCAUGGACCCACUUGGUCUUGUACCCUCAAUCUUGUAAUUUUCUUGGAAUUUAUGUAUCAAGUGAGUGUCCACCAGCUAA